UACGGAGGAUGCAAGCGUUAUCCGGAAUGAUUGGGCGUAAAGCGUCCGCAGGUGGCUAUGUAAGUCUGCUGUUAAAGAGUCUAGCUCAACUAGAUAAGAGCAGUGGAAACUACAAGGCUAGAGUACGUUCGGGGCAGAGGGAAUUCCUGGUGUAGCGGUGAAAUGCGUAGAGAUCAGGAAGAACACCAGUGGCGAAAGCGGCUGCCUGGGCCAGUUCUGACGCUGAGGCGCGAAAGCGUGGGGAGCAAACAGG
rnacentral:rRNA from 1 species